rnacentral:ncRNA from 1 species
GGUUGGCGAACGCAGCGCUUCUUAGAGGGACGGGCGGCAGAAAGCCGCACGAGGCGGAGCGAUAACAGGUCUGUGAUGCCCUUAGAUGUCCGGGGCCGCACGCGCGCUACACUGGAGGUAUCAGCGGGCGCGUCUCCCCCGGCCCGAGAGGGUCGGGAAACCUCUGAACCACCUCCCGUGAUAGGGAUCGUCUUCUAGGUUGUAGUUUCUGGCUCAGAAUUUCUGGAGCCACUGUUGACACUGGCUUACGCUAAU